rnacentral:misc_RNA from 1 species
CAGCAUCAUAGAAUCCUAGCUAAUUGCUAGAGGAUUUAGAAAAGGAAACUUGGGAGUCCCUUCAAAGCAAAUGCACAUUCAGGAUCGUGUUAGUGAUUCUGCAAUUAAGGAACUUCUAUGCAAGGUGAAAUGAAUCAGAAACACUGACAAAUCUGAAGUUAAUUAACAAUAACAUACUAGAUAAGACGAGAAACUAAACUUCUAAUAGGAGCCCAUAAUCUAUUAAUUCUAACAUGUUAAUAAACAGAGUUUCUUAUGUUAAUCACGGACAGGUUUCCAAACUGAAAGUGCGUAGACUAUUCUCCCCUUCCAUCCCUGCAGCAUCCACCGGCUAUCCUCAUCAACAACAAAGUUCUUAUUGUAAUUUGAUUCCACAGUAGCUGUUACUUGCUUCGUGAUCUCCUGGUCUAAUGGAAGCUGCCUGAACCCAGCCUUAACAUUUCGAACUUGCCACUGCCUAUAUGUCUCUGGCCUUUCAACUCUGUCCCCACCCUCACAGGCUAUGACAUUCAUUGCAUACCUUCCAAAUAUUUCUUUCUCAAACAUCAGUCUCGCAGGUUCUUCACGAGGUAUAGUGGCAUCAAUCAUGUCAAACAAUGCUGAGAAGUGGAAGAGUGCAUCUCGAAAACGUGUGAGGAAGAAGGGCGCAUUGUAAGUACCAUUAACUACUCCAUGGAUGAAGAUAUCUGGAUUAAUUCUCCUCAUUUGUUUCAGAACAAUAUCUCUCACACUGUUGGCUACCAUUGUGUCAUCAGGGAGGUUCUUUAACCGAUACAAACAAUUAACAACAACCAUCUCAUUUCUGUCAAUCUUGAAAUCCUCAUAUUGGAUACUUUCCCAUUUCUGUGCUAUGGCAUUGUACUCAAAUGGGACAUUGAAUCUCUCACAGUAUUUUCUUAAGCGAUGACCUGUUUCUUCAACCCUUUCUGCAGGCCGGAAGCCCGGUUGAGGAAACUCAAUGCCUGUGAUACACAACUUUGGAGGUCCUCCACUCCUUGUUGAGAGACGCUCAAUAAGGGAAGGCCAUUGAAAGCCAUAGAGAAUGCCAUAAUCAAUAAUGUGUAGCCUAGUCACUUUCUCUGCCAGUUUCAUGAUAGUCUGGUUAGCAUAAAGGUAUGACAUUGUCUGGAAAGGGCAUGCCGUAACAUAUGUGUGGUAAGCUUUUAGCAUAUCAGCAGCUGAUGUUGUACUACUUACCACGGGUGUAUAUCCAGGCGUCCCUGUUCCAGCCAAUCGUGCCUCCAAGCCAUUGGCAAAGAAAUGUGCCAAUCUUUGGUUUCCAUCACCAUAAGGGGAAGAAUAUUGCUUUACCUGUCUCAGCUGUUCCUGUGCAGCCCUUUGGUCAUCGCUAGCCACAGCUAGCGCACAUUGAGGCAGGAGAGUCCAUAAAUCCACCACUUCCUUUUUACUACCUUUUUUCUUUGAGCGACAUUUUCUACCAAUAGACCCUUUUGUUUGCCCAUUGUUCUUCAACUUCCCUUCAUCAUUUUUUUGAAGAGAAAAUGACCCAGAAUCAUUCUUUCCUGUCUGACCGAGCAACACCUCGUCGAAUAUCUCUGUUUCCUCAGGCUUUUCAAGAGAGAUUGCAGAAUGCUUGUUGCUUCUCCCUUCUAGAUAGGCACUUUCCUCAAACUGAUGAAGUUUCCUCUCCCUCAAACCAUUAAACGAGUAAUAAUCCCUGGUGUUAUCCUUCUCUUGAAAAUCUGAUGGAAUCAAAGAACUAGCAUUUGAAAAUGACUGACUGCAUAAAUCUGGCACCUGGAGGGUAUUUACAUGAGAGAAUUCAAAUUCAGCGUGGUCAAAAAUCCAACUUGAUUCAACCAAGUUGAUGGAAGUAGAACAAGUGUUGCUGCUAUCACUACUGGCACUCCAAGUGAAAGCGCUGCCUAGGCUGUGAAUGUUUUGAUGAAAGUUGGAUGAUUGAUCCGACCAAGGAGGAUACUUCUGGCCAAGAACAUCAUAGAAAGAUUUCUCUGCAGCUUGGAGGGCUAAACCUUCAUGCAACAUACAGUUCUUGCUCUCUAAUUCUUCUUCCAUAAGCAUAUCACUUAUGUACUUGAGAACAGAAUUGGAGAAAUCACUAUUGUCGAGGGAAUCUGCUUCAGGGCUUGAACCUGAAUGUGAUGCUGAAUCCCUGCUUGAAGUGUGUGCAUUUGUUGGAAGCUGAUGUGGAUGAGGAUCUACAUAUUCAUGAUUCAGUUCAAAACCAUUGACAAGAUAGUGAUUUGGAAGGGCUGACAUGGUGCCACAGUCAAAUCUGAAUCUGGUCCUGGCACCUGGAGGUGCUCGGAGUAGAGCAUCAUCCAUAAAGACUACUGGUGGAACCAGACUGAAAUUUGAUUCUCAAAAACUGUCAACUUUGAUUCCCCUUUACCAGUUGCUGAGGAUCUUGGGCAAAAUAACAACACUGAAUGUUGUGGCUUAGUUAUACUAGGAUUUAAGGAGAGUUGGAGGGGAACAAAGAUGAAAUUUCUCCUAAAUUUAUACCAAGUAGCUGUAAACUCAGUUUUACUUGAAGAAAAUUGAAUAGAAAAAUUGCUUGUACAGACUAAGCAGGAAAAGUCCAGAAGCCUGUUUAAGAAGCCAAUGAACUAUAUACCAAUCAGCUUCCAAGCUUUGUAAUGAUCAGCUUUUCAUACAUGAGUGGUACCUUAGGUAUGUUUUAGCCAAUGGGAGAUGAUGAAUGUUAC